UGGGGAAUAUUGGACAAUGGGCGAAAGCCUGAUCCAGCCAUGCCGCGUGUGUGAAGAAGGUCUUCGGAUUGUAAAGCACUUUAAGUUGGGAGGAAGGGCAGUUACCUAAUACGUAUCUGUUUUGACGUUACCGACAGAAUAAGCACCGGCUAACUCUGUGCCAGCAGCCGCGGUAAUACAGAGGGUGCAAGCGUUAAUCGGAAUUACUGGGCGUAAAGCGCGCGUAGGUGGUUUGUUAAGUUGGAUGUGAAAUCCCCGGGCUCAACCUGGGAACUGCAUUCAAAACUGGCAAGCUAGAGUACGGUAGAGGGUGGUGGAAUUUCCUGUGUAGCGGUGAAAUGCGUAGAUAUAGGAAGGAACACCAGUGGCGAAGGCGACCACCUGGACUGAUACUGACACUGAGGUGCGAAAGCGUGGGGAGCAAACAGGAUUAGAUACCCUUGUAGUCCCUGAGCGGGCUGGCA
rnacentral:rRNA from 1 species